rnacentral:rRNA from 1 species
UUUCGACCUGAGGUCAGGCAAGAACACCCGCUGAACUAAGCAUAUCAAUAAGCGAGAAAA